GGAAUAUUGGUCAAUGGACGCAAGUCUGAACCAGCCAAGUAGCGUGCAGGAUGACUGCCCUAUGGGUUGUAAACUGCUUUUUUACGGGAUUAAUUCGUUCCACGUGUUGGUUCGUUGCAGGUACCGUAAGAAUAAUGACCGGCUAAUUCCGUGCCAGCAGCCGCGGUAAUACGGAAGGUCAAGGCGUUAUCCGGAUUUAUUGGGUUUAAAGGGAGCGUAGGCGGCCGAUUAAGCGUGUUGUGAAAAGCAGGUGCUCACCAUUUGUCGUGCAGCGCGAACUGGUUGGCUUGAGUGUCAUGAAAGGUGGCGGAAUUCGUGGUGUAGCGGUGAAAUGCUUAGAUAUCACGACGACCUCCGAUUGCGAAGGCAGCUGCCUGCAUGAUUACUGACGCUGAUGCUCGAAGGUGCGGGUAUCGAACA
rnacentral:rRNA from 1 species